CCCUAACGCGAAGAACCUUACCUACUCUUGACAUCCAGAGAACUUUCCAGAGAUGGAUUGGUGCCUUCGGGAACUCUGAGACAGGUGCUGCAUGGCUGUCGUCAGCUCGUGUUGUGAAAUGUUGGGUUAAGUCCCGCAACGAGCGCAACCCUUAUCCUUUGUUGCCAGCGGUUAGGCCGGGAACUCAAAGGAGACUGCCAGUGAUAAACUGGAGGAAGGUGGGGAUGACGUCAAGUCAUCAUGGCCCUUACGAGUAGGGCUACACACGUGCUACAAUGGCGCAUACAAAGAGAAGCGACCUCGCGAGAGCAAGCGGACCUCAUAAAGUGCGUCGUAGUCCGGAUUGGAGUCUGCAACUCGACUCCAUGAAGUCGGAAUCGCGAUAGUAAUCGUAGAUCAGAAUAUAAAGGGGAGAGAACUCCCG
rnacentral:rRNA from 1 species